CGGGUCUCCCCCAGCAGCACACCCCGGGGAGGAGGCAGGCGCACGCAGAGGGCCCCACAGCGUCUUGGGCGCGGGCGACUCCUGUGGGGUCCCGGGCUGAGCCCCCGCUCUGUCUCCCCAGGUCUUCCCGAAGGCGGUAGAGGCUUGCGCUGCGGACGUGGACCCAGAGGACACGGCCACAGGUCCCUGUCCUUGACCCCGCGCCUUGGUUCAGAGUUAGACUUGACUUUAUGGCGAGGCCCCAGCCUUGGUUGCAUCUCAAGGCGCAGCCUCGACCUCCACCCCUGAUUCCCGACCCCCUCUGUCUGCGACCCAGGACCUUGACUCAGACGCUCGGCUGAACGGCGACCCUCAAACCUGAACGCACCCCUGAUGGCCCCACAGAUCACCAGCCACAAGCGGCACCUGGGCGCGGGCCUCGCUCCCCCAGACGUGACCUCACGGCUCAAGGUUCUGCCGGAAGAGUCGGCCCUGGAGAACGGGGAGCUAGGUGAGUUGUGCCGCCUCGAGUCUGCGGUCCCUCCCUGUCCCCCAGAGCCUGCGCACUGACCCUCCCAUCCCCCACAGCGACGGCUGCCCCGGAAACACGGGUCCUGCAGGGCUUCGGGCCAGACCCCGCGGGCCGGGGACAGGGCUGGGUGCUGACCCGCCAGCAGCUCCGGGCCCUGCUUCUCAAGUGCUUUCUGCUUGCCUGCCGCGGCCGCCGUGGCCCAUUUACACAGGUGAGGGGAAGCGGGCGCCAGAGGAGGGCGCGGCGGGCAGCCCUGGGUGCCUGUUUUCUACUCCCGUCACCCACUCAGCAGUGAACCCGAGAAGUCUCCACCAGUCUGAGCACCUUUACUGAGAGCACCGGGGAGCCACGGAUGAUUGUAGAGCAGGAGCAGGAAGGGUCCCGGGCAGCCCGGGGGGUGCGCAGGGAGGGCAGCUGCUGGGCCCGUCCUGCAGAUGGUGCUGCCUGUCCUCUUUGUGGGCCCGGUGCCGGUGCUCAGUCUCCUCGCGCCUCCUGACGGGCCGGGCCGGAACCUGUCCCGACUUCCUGGUCAAGACCCACCCCCGCCUGGUGCGCCAGGGGCCAGCCGCCACCUGCACGCGUUCAGUUUGCCCGGAGGAGGGGGCCGGCGCUCCGGACGGCUCUCCGUGCCCCCCCACCCCCCGCCCCUGCAUCUCCCGCAGCCUGAAGACCAAGAAGUGGGUGAACGAGGUCAGGUGAGCAGGGCCGUUCCCACGCCCCCUGCCCACCCGCUAGGAGGCUUUCCUGCCCCGCCCUCCCUGAGCCCACUGCCCCGCAGGUAUGGGGGCUUCUCCCUGGGGGGGCCGAGACCCAGGCCUGCCCUCAGGGCAAGAGGUGAGCCACUCAGUGUGGGGGCUGCUGGUGCUGCUGAACCCCCGACCCGGCGGGGCCCCCUCGACCUUGUCCUGAGCAACCCCACAGCCUGGGCUCACCGAGGACAGCCUCAAGGGCUGACACGCCAUGGUGGCCUUCAUCGGCAGGGCCAACAACGCUCUCCUACGUGCCCACCUGCCCCCAGGCCCUGCCCGCCACGCCCACAGCAUCACCACGCUCAGCCACCCCGAGGCUGCGCUGAGUCCCUAUGCCCCGCCCCCCACCUCGGCCUUUCUGUGCUCUGCCACUCCCCUGCUGAGUACGCGCACAGGGGCGGAGGCUCUCUGCUCGCCAGGCCCAGACAGCGGGACGUCGUCAGGCUCCCCCGGCAGCCCACGCAUCGUCACUGCGUCCGCUGGGACCCCACCACGCGGUCUGCGCGUCUGCCCGGCUGGCAGUCCAGCCCCCACCGGCCCCACACGGCCCCGCUCGUCUCCCCGUGGAUCCUUGUCCCGUCGGCGUGGGCAGAGGUGUCCUCUGAGGCGCCCGUGCACCCUUGCCCGCAGGACGGCCACCUCGGUGGACGUGCCCGUCUCCACCUGAGCGGUCUUCGCCGUGUCUUUCGUCCCAGCCAGCGUCACCCUUGUUCUCAUCAAGGAGCCGGGCCUCUGCAGUUUAUGGGGGGCCCACCUCCCACUCUUCACUGGCUCAGCAACUUUCUCUGGGACGUGGUGCUGGUGGGGGGGAGGUCCGGCUGCCUCUCAUUGCUGCCCCUUUGCUACCCCUUCCCGCCAGGCGCUUGUCGGGAUGGUCUGGGUGAAGUCUGGGGAUCUGGGAGACUGCACCUCUGGCCACCUGAAACGCGGGGGGUUGGAUGGGGCCCAGGGGACCUGCAAACUGAUGGGCGUAACUCCGCCUCCGACGCAGUGGAACUACCUGGUGCCAGCGUGCGUGGCGGCGCUCACCUUUCUGGCUUCCAGCAGAGGGCGUACGUGGCUCCCGCCAACCCGCCUGCCCUCCUGCUGCUGUUACUGCUCUACGGGUGA
rnacentral:lncRNA from 1 species